rnacentral:rRNA from 1 species
AGUGAACGCUGGCGGUAGUCCUAACACAUGCAAGUCGAACGGCAGCACAGUAAGAGCUUGCUCUUACGGGUGGCGAGUGGCGGACGGGUGAGGAAUACAUCGGAAUCUACUUUUUCGUGGGGGAUAACGUAGGGAAACUUACGCUAAUACCGCAUACGACCUACGGGUGAAAGCAGGGGAUCUUCGGACCUUGCGCGAUUGAAUGAGCCGAUGUCGGAUUAGCUAGUUGGCGGGGUAAAGGCCCACCAAGGCGACGAUCCGUAGCUGGUCUGAGAGGAUGAUCAGCCACACUGGAACUGAGACACGGUCCAGACUCCUACGGGAGGCAGCAGUGGGGAAUAUUGGACAAAGGGCGCAAGCCUGAUCCAGCCAUACCGCGUGGGUGAAGAAGGCCUUCGGGUUGUAAAGCCCUUUUGUUGGGAAAGAAAAGCAGCAGGUUAAUACCCCGCUGUUCUGACGGUACCCAAAGAAUAAGCACCGGCUAACUUCGUG